rnacentral:tRNA from 1 species
AUCUAUAUAGCUUAUUAGAGCGUGGUUUUGAAGAAGCUAAGGAAAUUUAUAUUUAUAGAUA